rnacentral:rRNA from 1 species
GACGAACGCUGGCGGCGUGCUUAACACAUGCAAGUCGAGCGGUAAGGCCCUUUCGGGGGUACGACGAGCGGCGAACGGGUGAGUAACACGUGGGUGGACCUGCCCUCAGCUCUGGGAUAAGCCUGGGAAACCGGGGUCUAAUACCGGAUAUGACUCCAUGACGCAUGUUGUGGGGUGGAAAGCCUUGUGCGGCUGAGGAUGGGCCC